GUGGUGCCACCUCCUGUCCUGUUCCAAUGCGGUGCUCAGGUGUGCCAGGUGUGCCCAGGUGCCACCUCAGGUGUGUCCUCACCUGUCCUGGGCAUGGGGAGGUGACUGAGACACACCAGGUGCCACCAACACACAGAACAAAACAAUGUCACCGUGGUGCCACCUCCUGUCCUGUUCCUGGCCUGUGAUGAGGUCUCCAGGUGUGUCCAGGUGUGCCCAGGUGUGUCACACCUGUCCUAGGCAUGGCAGGUGAGCGAGGCCAGCAGGUGCCACCGACACAGAGAAAUGAAUGACGUCACUCUAGCGCCACCUCCUGUCCUGUUCCUGUCCUCUGGUGGUCUCCAGGUGCGCCCAGGUGCGCCCAGGUGCGCCCAGGUGCGCCCAGGUGUCAGACGAACACCUUGGCCAGGGCGUCGGCGCCGGCGCUGGCGCUGAGGGCGCGGCGCGGGUGGAAGGCCACGGCCAGCACGGCCUCGGCGUGCUUGCGGCGGUGAGCGGGCAGCUCCUGCACACAGGUGCGCUGGCACAGGUGCC